AACGAACGCUGGCGGCAGGCUUAACACAUGCAAGUCGAACGCCCCGCAAGGGGAGUGGCAGACGGGUGAGUAACGCGUGGGAACAUACCCUUUUCUACGGAAUAGCUCUGGGAAACUGGAAUUAAUACCGUAUACGCCCUACGGGGGAAAGAUUUAUCGGGGAAGGAUUGGCCCGCGUUGGAUUAGCUAGUUGGUGGGGUAAAGGCCUACCAAGGCGACGAUCCAUAGCUGGUCUGAGAGGAUGAUCAGCCACAUUGGGACUGAGACACGGCCCAAACUCCUACGGGAGGCAGCAGUGGGGAAUAUUGGACAAUGGGCGCAAGCCUGAUCCAGCCAUGCCGCGUGAGUGAUGAAGGCCUUAGGGUUGUAAACUUCUUUCACCGGGGACGAUAAUGACGGUACCCGGAGAAGAAGCCCCGGCUAACUUCGUGCCAGCAGCCGCAGUAACAC
rnacentral:rRNA from 1 species